UACUGCAGUCCUGACGAAGACGCAAGAAGUCCGAUGAUGAGACGGCAACGUUGGGUCGAUCAUCAUCCCUCGUUUUGGUUGGACUUGGAUGAAAUGUCUACAUCUGAUGUGAUAUCUCAUUUAAAUGCGUCGAUUACGAAGUAAAUCAAAUUUGGACUGUAGGAUUCAAUAAAUCUUAUGGGAAUGUGGCAAUCGAUCAAAUUAGAAUUCAAUUAGAUAUAAAUUCAAGAACAUAAAAUAGAUAUAAAUCCAAUUUAAUUAAGUGAUUAUUUCUCAAGAACAAAAGGUAUUAGAAAAAGGAUCCAAUCUUCUAUUAAACUCUAACAGAAGGGAAAAAAGAAAGAUCAAAUUGUACUUUUAAUACCAUAAAAUAGAAGGAAAAACAAUAAAAAAAAAAAUUAGGUAGACGUAAGAACAGGAAGAACCAAACAAAAACCUGAUAUGCUUCUGCGGUUGCCACUGUCCUCGAAUUGACCAGAGAACACCUCCUCCUGCGUUCUUCUCGUGUUUGUUAAAAUGGCGACAAGAGCUUAGAAGCCAUCCGUGGCGGAAGAUUCCAGGAAUGGGGCGCGUCCGUCGCUUCGCAGCACGGAAUAUUCUGCUCGCGUUGUAAUUUUAUCUUGUGAUGAGUGACUGUAGGGAAACGAGAGAAGGAUGGGAGGUUAUAG
rnacentral:lncRNA from 1 species